UACAGAGGGUGCGAGCGUUGUUCGGAAUUACUGGGGCGUAAAGCGCGUGUAGGCUGCUCAGAAAGUCGGAUGUGAAAAGCCCUGGGCUUAACCUAGGAAGUGCAUUCGAAACUUCUGAGCUUGAGUUCUGGAGAGGAAGGCGGAAUUCUCGGUGUAGAGGUGAAAUUCGUAGAUAUCGAGAGGAACACCGGUGGCGAAGGCGGCCUUCUGGACAGUGACUGACGCUGAGACGCGAAAGCGUGGGGAGCAAACAGG
rnacentral:rRNA from 1 species